UUUGAUGCAAGAUUACAAAAGAUCAAUGGCAUUUUUUAGGUGUAAAUUUGCAAGUUGGUUGUUGGUUUUAUAUUCACAAUUUCUGUGAGCUUUAAUAGAAGUAAUUGAAGUAAUAGAGAAAGCAAAGGGAGGGAAGUAUCACAUGGAAAAACACCAAGUAUAACGAGUGACAUAGGCCAAAGUAUAAAUGAAAUUUACUCUUCAAAAGAAUUGCUUAUGGAGAUUAUGGUCUUACUAUUUCUUUGUUCUGGUGCUUUUAUUUAUUUGUUUUUACGCAAGGAUCUUACAACAUAGCAACAAUUGUUUGAAAUGCUAGUUGUGACAAGGGACACAGAGAGAGAGAGAGAAAGAGAG
rnacentral:misc_RNA from 1 species